CACCGCCUGGGGAGUACGACCGCAAGGUUAAAACUCAAAUGAAUUGACGGGGACCCGCACAAGCAGUGGAGCAUGUGGUUUAAUUCGAAGAUACGCGCAGAACCUUACCAACACUUGACAUGUUCGCCGCGAGCCUAAGAGAUUAGGCUUUUCAGUUUGGCUGGACGAAACACAGGUGCUGCGUGGCUGUCGUCAGCUCGUGUCGUGAGAUGUUGGGUUAAGUCCCGCAACGAGCGCAACCCCUACUUUUAGUUGCUACCAUUUAGUUGGGCACUCUAAAAGAACUGCCAGUGAUAAGCUGGAGGAAGGUGGGGAUGACGUCAAGUCCUCAUGGCCCUUACGUGUUGGGCUACACACGUGCUACAAUGGUACUUACAGUGAGAAGCAAAGAGGCAACUCUAAGCCAAUCCCAAAAAUGUACCUCAGUUCGGAUUGUACUCUGCAACUCGAGUGCAUGAAGCUGGAAUUGCUAGUAAUCGCGGAUCAGCGCGCCGCGGUGAAUACGUUCCCGGGUCUUGUACACACCGCCCGUCACACCAUGGAAGUUGGUUACACCUUAAGGCAAAGCGUAAAACCUUUGACUACGGUACGAUCAGCGACUGGGGUGAAGUCGUAACAAGGUAGCCGUAGGGGAACCUGCGGCUGGAUCACCUCCUUUCUAAGGAAGUCAGGAAGUAUUUUCUGACUUUAAAAAAAUCGGUAAUGUGACCGUCCUCAUUUCUCUUCUUUAUAAAUGUCUCUGAGUAGAUGUAAGUAAGGGGCCGGUAGCUCAGGUGGUUAGAGCGCACCCCUGAUAAGGGUGAGGUCGGAAGUUCGAGUCUUCCUCGGCCCACCAUUUUUUUAGGGGGAUUAGCUCAGCUGGGAGAGCGCCUGAUUUGCAUUCAGGAGGUCAGCGGUUCGAUCCCGCUAUCCUCCACCAAAAUUUGAGACAUUCAGCUUUUUUAAAUUGUAAAUAUUAAUAUCAAUAUCUAUAUCCGAUUGUUUUCAGAUAUUUUUUUGAAAACAAUCAAACAAAAAAUUUAAUUUAUAACAGAAAAAUUUUUUUCUG
rnacentral:sRNA from 1 species